AUGGAAAAGAAAAGAGAGACCUCGUUAUUUACCUCUAUUUCUUUUCUAGCAAGGCUCAUUUCCUUAAGACGGCAUCCGAGGUCUAUACUUCUAACGUCUAUGCUAUUAACGUACAACGUCACAUAAUGGAAACCGACUGGCAGCAUUCUAUAAACGAAUGUUACAUUGCGCCGCUACAUGGUACGGCGUUGUUAUAAUGUUAGAGUAAAGCAGUUGAGCAGCACGUUUUUUACGUAACGCUACGCGUAACGCCAAGGCGUGACGUCAGCACACUCGGCGUCGCGCCAGCCAGCAACGACGCCGGGCGCGGAAUUCUUGCGAAGAAAGCACUAACCGAGAGAAGCCGAGUAUAACCGAACGAGACGACACGGCAUAGUUGCACGAGGCGGCAACGCUGCGAGCGUCUGCUAGGUUCAAGGGUACGGAGUGGAGGUUGCUCCGCUCCGCUCGUCCCUAAGCCCGACACGACCGGGAGCUUGUCCCGAGAAACAGUUGGCCGCAUGUCCGCUUUCAUCCAACGGGAAACUUCUCGAAAGAUGCGCGUAAAAAGCUUGUACGUUACUUAUAUACUUACUCGUGUAUUCGGAGAAAUUCCCUGUUCCACUGAAAUGCGGACGAAGUUAAAUGCUCCUAGCAUUUGAUGCAUACGCUGCGUGACCGAUUAUUCAUGGUGGAAUUUAAAACUGACUCAAUCGUUCAGAGUCAUCGUCUCCACCAUUUAUUUCUGUCUCUUUUAAAUUCCCGUUUUCUUAGUUUCGAGACACGUCUAUGUAGUCUCGAAAUAAAUUACGCGUCUUUGAAGUUUCAUUUCGGUAGCCUUUAAAAUAAAAGGAGAUAGAGCAUUUUUAAAAAGCGCUACUUGGCCAUGCUGUGAUUGUCAUUUACUUACUGUAAUUACUACAUUGAGUAGUACUUUGCAAUUGUAAGUACACGACUGUUUGUAUUUUGGGUUCGCAACCGUUUCUCGAUUAAAAAUUAAAAAUUUGUAUUUCUUGAGUCGUGUCAACCCAUUAAUUCGAGGAAGCGAUAUGUAUGCACAUGCUUGCAAUACAUUCAUUAUAUAAUUUUCGCACCACUUUUGAGAACAUAAAUGAACAUACGAAACACAGUGUAAUAAUCGAGGUAUUUAGCAGAGUCAUUGAAUAGCCACGCAAGAGGAUCGCGGUUAGUAACGAGGCUAUUUUGCCGCGAUAGCUGUGAUCUUCUUCGAGACAUAGAAUCCGCUGGCAAGGAUCCCAGCGAGUGAAUAAAAACAGAAAGGAGAGAGUCAUCGAGUCGACUGUGUCCUGCUGCUGGUUGACCUCGGCCCUGGCGUCGAGAUCGACGGGAAACGGAUUUACAACUCUGACAUUCGCACUCGCACCGCGCACCAGCCGUGUGCUGUCCUAGUGGGACUCACAGAAGCCGAGUCAUUGUUAUGUCUGUCGUGAAAAUGAGAGCAAAAGAUGAAAAUGGAGUGGAAUUCAGCUACGAUUUCAUUUGAAAUAUUAUGUUUCUGGGCGAGUGUUACGAUUAAAAGGAACGGAUGUAGCUUUAAUUAUGUUCCUUAAUACCAUUACGCCACACCUGGUUAUUGUACUAUAUAGUCACCAAUGGUAGUGUCAAAUUUUAUCUCCAUAAUUCUUAAUGAAAUUUGAUAAUGUAUUUCUGACAGGAAGUUACGAUUAAAAGGAACAGAUGUAACUUCAAUCGCUGCUUUACUAGCAUUACAACAGUUUGAUUAUUGUAUUACAUCGUCACUACGUCGCUAUUGGUAAUUGUAAUUUUUUUAGUUGACAAUAGAAUUCAUAUGUGUACUUUGUAAUUGAA